UACGUAGGGGGCGAGCGUUAUCCGGAAUUACUGGGCGUAAAGCGCACGCAGCGGUUCGCCAAGUUUGGAGUGACAGUUGUCGGCUCAACCGACAAAGGACUUCAAAAAACUGGUGAACUUGAGGACGAGAGAGGAACAUGGAACUCCAGGUGUAGUAGUGAAAUGCGUAGAUAUCUGGAAGAACACCAAUGGCGAAGGCAAUGU
rnacentral:rRNA from 1 species